rnacentral:rRNA from 1 species
CACCUUAAAGGAUCCCGAAGUGCUUAACACAUGCAAGUCGAACGAUGAACCACUUCGGUGGGGAUUAGUGGCGAACGGGUGAGUAACACGUGGGCAAUCUGCCCUUCACUCUGGGACAAGCCCUGGAAACGGGGUCUAAUACCGGAUAACACUGCGGAUCUCAUGGUCUGCGGUUAAAAGCUCCGGCGGUGAAGGAUGAGCCCGCGGCCUAUCAGCUUGUUGGUGAGGUAAUGGCUCACCAAGGCGACGACGGGUAGCCGGCCUGAGAGGGCGACCGGCCACACUGGGACUGAGACACGGCCCAGACUCCUACGGGAGGCAGCGGUGGGGAAUAUUGCACAAUGGGCGAAAGCCUGAUGCAGCGACGCCGCGUGAGGGAUGACGGCCUUCGGGUUGUAAACCUCUUUCAGCAGGGAAGAAGCGAAAGUGACGGUACCUGCAGAAGAAGCGCCGGCUAACUACGUGCCAGCAGCCGCGGUAUUACGUAGGGCGCAAGCGUUGUCCGGAAUUAUUGGGCGUAAAGAGCUCGUAGGCGGCUUGUCACGUCGAUUGUG